rnacentral:lncRNA from 1 species
AUCCCCAUAAGUGACAAUGCUGUCCAUAAUCUUGGCCACUACCUCCUUAGAAUCCCUCAGUUUUUUUAUGCUUUUGUUAAGCUUCUCACGCUUUACUGCCACUGCCGGGGACUCCUCCAACAUCCUCUCAAUUCCCCCACCGUAAGGUCCCAACAACUCAUUCACAAUCUCAGCUUCCAUCUCUUUGUUCACAAGGUUGAAAACAGACAGCUGCAAGUGCAAUGCCAUGCAGUCCACAAGCCUCCUCAAAACAACCUUCCAAUAAGCAAUCAUUCUCAUUUUAAGGUCAUAAGCUUGAGCUAACACAUGCGGGUACUUCCUCAGAACACCGACUUCCACUUCCCCGAUGCCUUCUAUAUCUAUGAUAGAAGGCUUCUUCUCAUCAGUUAAGACUCCAUGAAUGAAUUCGUUUUGACUAGCCAUCAGCUUGUUCCAUUCGGAAACAUAAUCACCAUCACAUGUAUAAUCUGUCAGCUUUUCCAUCUCUACAAGCUCCAGCAUCCACUUGAUUGACCUCUCCUUCAUCUUGGCCAUUAGACUAUGGCCGGCACGCCUUGCUGACAGCUGCAGCUGAUGAUAGUUAUCCGUAUAAUGCAUCAACACAGAAAUAACCACCUCUUCAAUGUAGUUCCACACUUUUUCCUCAAAUGCAAUCGGAAUACUCGAAAUUUCAUUCACUUUUGCCUGCAAGAUAAUGAGGAAAGCAUUGCGUGGAAGGAAGUUCGGAAGUGAAAUACCUUUGGCCUCCUCCAAGAUCCUGAUCUCCUCCAUCAAGAAGUUGCUCUUUGCAUCAGUUUCAGCACAUCUGUGAAGUUCAUCCGAGUACUGGUUGAGCAUCUCAACCAAUCUAGCAGUGCAGUGCAUGCGAUUGUCUUCCGCGUACUCCUGAAAUUCUCCUCUCAAAAGAAUCUUCCUAAGCGAUUCCUUAGCCAAGCCAGUGAUUUGCAUAAAAGCCGUCAUGGCCUCAGCAACCGAUGAAAGACUCUUUGGCAUUUUGUUCAGCUCCAUAAUGCAGAAGUUCAGCCUGUCAUUGAUCUUCUUCACUAUCUCAGGUAUAUUUCUUGCUAUGCUGUUUGCUUGAAUUUGGACCAGCUUCUGUGCUAAAACUGGAAUGCCGACAAUGGACUUGUCAAUCUUCGAAAGCAGAGGAUGGGUUUGAAAUAGUUCAUGAGCCAUCACCGCUGCCUCCUCAUCAGUUUCGUCACCAAUCCUGUUCCUUACACAGACAUAACCAAGACCAAUGUUUACAUCAUCUCCAGUGACCUUCUCAAGUAGUCCUUCCGGUGCCUUGUCCACUUUCGUAACCACAGCGAGCGUCCUCUCACCAGUUUUAUCUACACUUUGUGACAUCCGGAUUGACUCACACGUAGUAAAAUCCACCGUAGCAGACAAUACAUUCAGAAUAAUACUUUCCUCCGGCUUAAUAUACUCCAUGAUCAUAUCUUUGAUCUGAUCAUAGAUAUUUUCAGGUUGGCCAUGGACUGGAACCCUUGUGAUUCCCGGAAGAUCAACCAUAGUCAGAUCCGGAACCCCAUACUUCUUCACCAACAAAGUAAGUGGCGUGUUUGAAAUUCCCUUACCUCCCCCCGCAAUAGAAUUAGUAGCUUUCACAAUAUCUUUGGUGAUAUUUUCUUCAUCAGUACGAUCAACUCUGCCAUUGUACUCCAAGGAAAGUUCAGGCUGAGGACUCGAGUGGUGUUCGAGCCUCAUAAUAAGAGGCACUCUCGUGCAGAUGCCUUGGCCCCGAGGUAGGCUGAUGCCGGCCAAGGAUUCGAGCACGCUAGACUUCCCGGAUGACUGGUCUCCGACCACCACAAUCGUUGGCAGCUGAAUGCCUUCAUCCAUCACCUUCAAGCUGCGUAACUUGUCUACCGCAUCCAGAAGAGGGCGGAUCUUGUCGUUAUAGGACGACACAAUGGGUGCGCAUUUGAGGGGUACUGCGUCUAGUCCUGCCUGAACCAUUGCGAGGGAGCCUUCACCGUUUAUAACUGUGCGACUCGAUUCCAUUUUCCUUGGUCCUUGCGUUUCUGAAUUAUAGCAAGUCAAAACAAUGGUGAAAAAUCUAGAGGGAAACCGAGAUUGUAGAGAGAUGAGAGAGAAUUCGAAGAUGGAAAAUGUUCUGUAUUGGGUUUAUGACUUAAUGGAGUAAAAUGUUCUAUUUAUAGCUACUGCUAUAUAUCAUUCUUAGCCCUUAAGCAACUUAACUGACUCUCAAUCAACAAUAGCAACACAUCUAACAAAAAUGCUACUUUUCCGAUAUAUUUGUACCAUCAUUUGCUUACAUUGAUAAAUCGGACUCAUACUCAUAAGCUGACAUGGCAGCCACAUGACUUAAAAGUAAGAAGAUUACUUGUCAGCGAAGAUAUCAGUCAGGAAGAAGUGAGAAAGCUGGGUUUAGUAAGUGCCUUAGGCUUAAAGGCUCCUAGUUGUAUGUAUAAUUGUUCAGCAAAACCUAUCGAAGUAAAUGACAACCAGCCUUUUCAAAACCGCAUGCUGAGAGAGUUGUGAUUUGGACUUCCAAACGUUCAGCAAACCAAACCGCUUGCGAGCCUUUGAACUUCUAAACCCUAAUCAGUGUAAAUGUAAUAUGGACAGUUAACUGAUAACCAUUUUUUGUGCUUGAUGCUCUUGAACUUCAGUCAACCUUUAUAUAUUAUUCAUUCAAAUAAUCGAUGACUAGCUAGCCAAUGUAAGUUGUAACCCAACAGAGACGAGAUGUUGAAGAAAAUUAAAUAUUUUUUGUAAUUUGGUAAGACAAACAAAGGCACCCAUUGGAGAAAGGGAAGUGCUAGCAGCCUUUGCCCUAACAUUUGUGUUUGGACCUCUUCACUUUAACAACUAACAGGUAUCAUUUUCUAUACAAAAAAGCAAGAAUUUUAAAGCUUUUGUCUAGGAAUUAACGAUGAGAAAUAUAAAAUAUACAUUAUUAUGUCAUUCAUUAAAAUGAAAAUUUUCAAAUGCAAAAGUUAGUGCAAAAGUGUAUUUCUCUUAGAAAAAUUCAAUCUAACAACCAAAAUUAAAGUUAACAAAAAAAAGUAGAGAACUUAAUUCAUAUUGAAUCUACCCUUAUGAUCGUGCUCCAGAAAAAUUGAGAAGGAUGCAGGGUUUUUGAAUUUGGUAAAGCUUAAGGAUUAAGGUUGCUGUUUUUUUUUUUUUUUUUUUUUUUUUUUUUUUUUUUUGGAGAAAAGUGGAAGAGAAAGAGCCUUUGAAGAUUCCUUUCUGAGUUUUCACAUUGUGGGGAUUUUGUUUCACUUUUACCAUUGUAAGACCAUAGAUAAUGGAUGCUGACAUGGUUGGACAGAUGUCGAAUAGUGGUGUGGUAUGCCCAAUCGGUUUAGGUUGCUGAAAAUAGCAACUUUAACUAAAAAUAGUGCAGGACUUUAAAAGAGGAAGGGGAAAUAAGAGUUUGAGGAAAAAGAGGCAACUUUAAUUCAUCAUUUCAUAGGUUCUUUACGCUCUCCAUUAUUACAUAUUUAUGCUCCUCAUAAAAGAGAAAAUAGAGUUUUAACGAAAAGCCCGCGGUACUGUUCACUUUAAUGAAAAACCACAUUUUUACACUAAAAAGUCAAAUCUGGUACUAUUCAUAUUACUCUUUAUUUUGUUCUUAUCGUUAAAAUUCAAAGUUUUAAAGCAUUUUUCAUUAGUUUUCCUAAGAGAACAACCCUAGCUACUUGGACAUAAAAAAAAAGGCUAGUACGGGCAAGUUGCAAGAGGAGAAGUAGUGGGCUCAAGUAAAUGGGCUUAAUAACUCCCCCCUCUCCUUGAGAAUAGGCCUGACCUUAGGUCAAGAAAUCGAGGUAACGGGCCAAGAUGUCGUCAGCUUCCUCCCAGGUGACAUCUUCAGUGGGUAGGCCAACCCACUUGAUCAACCAUUUUGUCGCAGCUUUAUUUUUUUUUCUUGAAUAUGCCCUUGUCUAAAACUCUUUCUGGUUGCCAGUGUAGAACCCCAGUGGAGUCGAUAGGAGGCAAAACUGACAGUGGAGGAGAAAUACUACCAAUCUUUUGUUUAAGGAGAGACACAUGAAAGACGGGGUGGAUUUUGGAGUCUAAAGGCAAACGAAGCUGAUAUGCUACGAAACUGAUGCGCUUAGUUAUCUGAAAAGGUCCAUAGAACUUGGGUGCCAGCUUGUUUGUUGUUCUAGUAGCCACUGAUUGUUAGCGGUAUGGUUAAAGCUUCAGGUAAACCCAGUCACCAACAUUAAAUUCCCGCUCAGUUCUCUUGUUAUCAUAGACUUGUCUCAUUUUGUUCUCUGCAAGCUGCAAAUUUGUUCUCAUAAGACAGAUUAAUUUGUCCUUAUCCUGUAUUGCAGCAUCAAUUGAGUGUACCGUCGUGGAGCCGAGCAUAUACAUGCAAAGGUGGUUCAAUGUCAUAAACAGCCUGAUAUAGAGACAUUUUGAUGGAAGAUUGGAAGCUUGUAUUAUACCACCAUCUAGCCCAGGGAAUGAGAGAAGACCAAUUGGUGGGUUUGUCUAUUGAGAAACAUCGAAGAAAAUGUUCCAAUGUGCAGUUAAGGACUUUCAUUUGCCUAUUCGUUUGAGGGUGGUAACCUAAACUUAGGCAAAGUUUGUUGCCUUGGAGUUUAAAGAACUCUUGCCAAAAGUUACUAAGAAAAUUGGGUCGCGAUCUGAAACGAUCUAUUUUGGCAUACCAUGGAGUCAGAAAACCUCAUUGCUGAAAGUAUCAGCUACAAAGGCAACUGUGUAUGGGUGCUUUAAUGGGAUAAAGUGGCCAUACUUUGAUAGGCGAUUGAUGACAACUAGGAUCACGGUGUACGCGUUGGAAAAUGGGAGCCCUUUGACAAAAUCAAGAGUGAUGUCCUGUCAUAUGCCAGUGGGGAUGAGCAAGGGAUGCAGUAACCUAGGAGGGUGUUUUGUAUGCAUUAAGCCACAAUUUUUUUUUGUUUCCUUUCGAAUUCCCGGCCAUAAAACUUUUUUGGAGAGUCUUUUGUAUGUUCAAAGGAAGCCCAAGUGACCAUCUUAGAGAGAUGCAUGGAAUUCAUCCAAGAGUUUAGGUUGCCAUUGGGAUGUGAGUAGUGGGACAAAGAUCUGUUGCUUGUAGUGCAACACAUCAUUUAUAAUUGAGAACCCUUUGAUUGAAGUGUUGGGUAUUGGAACUAAAAGAUUCCAAACCUUUUGCACUUCUAGAUCCUAUGCAUAAGACUGUUGCAACUGAGGAAUGCAAUCAAAUAUAGGGGUAGAGAGGCCUAUUAAGAGCAAAAGUUCUUGUUGGCAGGAGAUAGCAUAUGGAGCACUGUUUUGAGAACCCGACCUAUACUCGACCGAGUAGUUGUACCCCAACAAUUUCACCAGCCAUUUUUAAUUUUUUUCACAAAAACUGUAAGUUAUAACUCACGUUUUCCAAUCGAUUUUAAGAACUUUUACAAGAUUCAUUAUAAGCCAAAAUUUGAGUCGUUUUAGUCGCACCACAUGUUUUCUAAAAUUAAUUUAGGACAUCCCAAAUAUUUUUCAACACCUACAAAUUUCUUUGGUGGCUUCACUAUUAGUUUAUACUAUUUUUCUAACUCAUAGUAACAACGAAAAAAUUUCUCAGCAUGACCAAAAUGAUUGAUGGUGCAUCAGAGACUACUUUUAUCGAUUUCAAAUUUGAAGGACUAAAGUAAGGAGUUAUGCCAGAAAGUGGCCCUCUACCACAGUGGUGGAGAGGAGUAUUGGCCUUACACUACGACAGAGCUUCGAACCAUGACGGCUCCCUAAUCUAACAUCUAAUUAAAAAAUCUAUUGUUUGACGAAGAAAAAAAAGUAAGGAGUUAUGUCAAUUUCAAAAUCCGUUUUGGCCCCUUUUUAACAUGGAUGGAGGGUUUCAAAUUCCUUGUUACUACCUUUUAGGGGUUUUAUUAAAUUUUAUGAAUUUUUUUGUUGGUAUAUUUGAGCGUGUCUUUAAAAUGAUUAAAAUUGUUUUAAUAUAAUAAAAUAAAAAGUGUUUAUGACAACAUUUUGACCAAAAAAAGGACUUUAUGGAGAGGUCUAUGAGCAAAAUGCAACUCUUACUACCUAUUUGUACUAUAAUUUGUACCACUAAUAAAGAUGAGACUCACAUGCGUUGGCGAGCCUUACCUCUAUUAGAGAUAUAGUAGAAAUAUAUGGUAAAUGUAGCAUUACUCGUCUAUGAGUGUUUUCAACGGAGUACAAUUCUCUGUCAUCCUAUUCCUAGUGUGGUUUAGUCCAUACUAAGUGUAUGGAUUCUAACAAACGAUCAAUUAAAACAUGAAAUCUAAUAUGGACAUUUAAUUAAAUGUUUAUUAAUAUUUACGGUGCGGUUCGGUUUCGGUGUAGUUUUCAAAAGCCAAAACCGAAACCAAACCGUUUUCUAUGUUGCGGUUCGGUUUCAAAACCGAAACCGUUUCAAAACCGCAAAACCAAACCAUUCGGUGCGGUUUGAUUUGGUUCGUGUUUUGGUUUCGGUUUUCGGUUCUAAGUGCCAAUCCCUAGGAGAGCGUGUCCCUUUUUUUUGAAAAAUAUGGAUCAUUUCCCUUAAGCUCCUCCUACACACACACACACACACACACACACACACACACACACAUAUAUAUAUUAAAAUGAUAACCUUUCUUGGAUAGAACUGAGCAUAUAAACAUGCAAAGGUAAUGUUAGAGAGACCAAAGUUUUAAACAAAAUAAUGUGUUACCAAUAAAAAAUAAGCACGUUAAUCAACGCUAAAGUAAUAAUUCAAUUAUCAAUAAGCACAUCAUUUGGUUUGUAAAUUUGAUUUAAAAAAUUUGGUCUCCCUAACAUUAUCCAACCUGCAAACAAGUUUAAUUAUCUUAGACAAGCAACAUUAUUUACAUAUUUACUUUCAGGCAAUUACAAAUUUGACGUCGAAAAGAAGAUUUAAGGAAAAUGGUUUUCUUAUUAAUUAGGAUUUUUACAAUGCGUGUCGCAUUCUUUACCUAAAGUUUUUAUGUCUGUCAGAUUGGUUAUGAAAGCUCACUGUCAUAUUAAUAAACGGUAUUAUAAGCAGAAAACAUGAGACAAAAAAUAGGAGUUAAACUGUAUGUAAGAGGAAAUCGCACUUAAAUUUCAUUAAUAACAGUAAACUUGACAAGGAUUACCACAAUCAUACGACUACGGACUAUUACACAACAAGAACACAAGGGAAACAAAAGAACUUAAAAACAAAAGUUGACUAACAAACAACCACCCACAUCAGACAACAGAAAGCUAAUUGCCAAGUUAGUUAAUCACCAUAAGUGAUAAUGCUGUCCAUAAUCUUGGCCACCACCUCCUUCGAAUCCCUCAGUUUUUUUAUGCUUUUGUUAAGCUUCUCACGCUUUACUGCCACUGCCGGGGACUCCUCCAACAUCCUCUCAAUUCCCCCACCGUAAGGUCCCAUCAACUCAUUCACAAUCUCAGGCUCCAUCUCUUUGUUCACAAGGUUGAAAACAGACAGCUGCAAGUGCAAUGCCAUGGAGUCCACAAGCCUCCUCAAAACAACCUUCCAAUAAGCAAUCAUUCUCAUUUUAAGGUCAUAAGCUUGAGCUAACACAUGCGGGUACAUCCUCAGAACACCGACUUCCACUUCCCCGAUGCCUUCUAUAGUUAUGAUAGAAGGUUUAUACUCGUCAGUUAAGACUUCAUGAAUGAAUUGAUUUUGACUAGCCAUCAACUUCUUCCAUUCGGAAACAUAAUCAUCAUCACAUGUAUAAUCCGUUAGCUUUUCCAUCUCUACAAGCUCCAGCAUCCACUUGAUUGACCUUUCCUUCAUCUUGGCCAUUAGAUUAUGGCCGGCACGCCUGGCUGACAGCUGCAACUGAUGAUAGUUCUCCGUAUAAUGCAUCAACACAGAAAUAACCACCUCUUCAAUGUAGCUCCACACUUUUUCCUCAAAUGCUAUCGGAAUACUCGAAAUUUCAUUCACUUUUCCUUGCAAGAUAAUGAGGAAAGCAUUGCGUGGAAGGAAGUUCGGAAGUGAAAUACCUUUGGCCUCCUCCAAGAUCUUGAUCCCCUCCAUCAAGAAGUUGCUCUUUGCACCAGUUUCAGCACAUAUGUGAAGUUCAUCCGAGUACUGUUUGAGCAUCUCAACCAAUCUAGCAGUGCAGUGCAUGCGAUUGUCGUCCGCAUAGUCCUCAAAUUCUCCUCUCAAAAAAAUCUUCCUAAGCGAUUCCUUAGCCAAGCCAAUGAUUUGCAUAAAGGCUGUCAUUGCCUCGGCAACAGAUGAAAGACUCUUUGGCAUUUUGUUCAGCUCCAUAAUGCAGAAGUUCAGCCUGUCAUUGAUCUUCUUCACUAUAUCGGGUAUAUUUCUUGCUAUGCUGUUUGCUUGAAUUUGGACCAGCUUCUGUGCUAAAACUGGAAUACCGACAAUGGACUUGUCAAUCUUCGAAAGCAGGGGAUGGGUUUGAAAUAGUUCAUGAGCCAUCGCCGCUGCCUCCUCAUAAGUUUCGUCACCAAUCCUGUUCCUUACACAGACAUAACCAAGACCAAUGUUUACAUCAUCUCCAGUGACCUUCUCAAGUAGUCCUUCCGGUGCCUUGUCCACUUUCGUAACCACAGCGAGCGUCCUCUCACCAGUUUUAUCUACACUUUGUGACAUCCGAAUUGACUCACACGUAGUAAAAUCCACCGUAGCAGACAACACAUUCAGAAUAAUACUUUCUUCCGGCUUAAUAUACUCCAUGAUCAUAUCUUUGAUCUGAUCAUAAAUAUUUUCAGGUUGGCCAUGGACCGGAACCCUUGUGAUUCCCGGAAGAUCAACCAUAGUCAGAUCCGGAACCCCAUUCUUCUUCACCAACAAAGUAAGUGGCGUGUUCGAAAUUCCCUUACCUCCUCCCGCAAUAGAAAUAGUAGCUUUCACAAUGUCUUUGGCGAUAUUGUCUUCAUCAGUACGAUCAACUCUGCCAUUGUACUCCAGGGAAAGUUCAGGCUGAGGACUCGAGUGGUGUUCCAGCCUCAUAAUAAGAGGCACUCUCGUGCAGAUGCCUUGGCCCCGAGGGAGGCUGAUGCCGGCCAAGGAUUCGAGCACGCUGGACUUCCCCGAUGACUGGUCUCCGACCACCACAAUCGUUGGCAGCUGAAUGCCUUCAUCCAUCACCAUCAAGCUGCGUAACUUGUCUACCGCAUCCAGAAGAGGGCGGAUCUUGUCGUUGUAGGAUGACACAAUGGGUGCGCAUUUGAGAGGUACUGCGUCUAGUUCUGCCUGAACCAUGGCGAGGGAGCCUUCACCGUUUAAAUCUGUGCAACUCGAUUCCAUUUGCCUUGGUCCUUCCGUUUCUGAAUUAUAGCAAGUGAAAAUAAUGGUGAAAAUUCUAGAGAGAAACCGAGAUAAUUUCAAGCUUAAUUAGCUAAAGAAUUGAGGUUCUCUGGCAGUUUACCCUCCAGUUUAUAACAUUUUUUUACUAAGAAUGUUUUCAGGUAAGGGAAAACACCACUUUCGUGAUCCAGUAGGAAACGGAGCCUUUCUUUCAACCGCUGCAUUUCCACAAACUCAAGAGACUCUAAUACCCGAAAAGGCAAGUUACGCUCUCCUUAAAACUCAGCACCAAUUCGAAGAUGGAGUAAAAUGUUCUGUAUUGAGUUUGUGACUUAGUGGAGUAAAAUGUCCUAUUUAUAGUGAUGCAGUACAAGACUCUCAUGCAUGUAUUGGAAUCUACCAAGAGUUGGAACCAUCAAAUAUAUUUAAUGGAGUUUUAGAGCAACACAACUAAUUAAGUAGUCAUUUAAGACCAUUUUAAAUAUUUUGGGUAGAGCAAAAGUCCAAUUCGGACUAGAGUUUCAUUGUGUUGUAUUCCUUAUAAAUAUAUGUACUAAUUGUAUUCCUUAAAUGACUACUUAAUUAGUUGUGUUGCUCUAAAACUCCAUUAAAUAUAUUUGAUGGUUCCAACUCUUGGUAGAUUCCAAUACAUGCAUGAGAGUCUUGAUUACUACAUCAUUUAGCUACUGCUAUGUGUCAUUCUUAGCCUUCAAGCAGCUUAACUGACUCUCAGUCAACAAUAACAACACAUCCAACAGCUUAAGGAUUGCUGUUUUUAGUGGAGAAAUGUGGAAGAGAAAGAGCCUUUGAAGAUUCCUUUAUGAGUUUGCACAUUGUGGGAGAUUUUGUUUCACUUUUACCAUUGUCAGGCCAUAAUCAUGGAUGUUGACAUGGUUGGACAGAUGUCGAAUGAUGGUGUCAUUGGGCCCCCACCAUCAAAGAAAAAGCAGUCCCCAUGGGGCAUCUAAGCGGAAAGAGAAUCCAUUAUAGUAUAAAGAUUUAGCAUUCACACUCAUAGCUUCGACAUCAAUCAUUUUCUUCCUUGCCGAUGUUCUUUAUAUUUUGCUUUCUUUAUUUCUUGAUAAGUUGUUUCUGGAUGAUAUUUUUUUAGAAUCUCUUGGAUGUCGUAUGCGUGCUACGUCACUCGUUUGUAUCAAAACACGCAUAAACAUUAUUUCUUUCAAUCGAGAUUUAAAAUUAAAAGUCUACAUACACUUUUUUGUUGUAAUUUGACUGAUGGACCAUAAUGUUGGAUUGUGAACUACCUUAGUACAUAUGUGUAGAAGUGUGGCAGGUGACGUAAGCAUAAAUAAUCAUUUUAACAUGCAUGUUAGCAAAAUGUUAAAUUGUGUUUAAUCAUAUUAAAUUAAUUUAUGUAUUGGUUUUGUUCAGGUAUAAUAAAAUUAAAAACACAUGUAUAAACUUAGUGUAAGUUUUAGGAUUCUCACCUUUAGAUUUCAUAGGUGGACAAAUUCAAUGUUGUUAAAGAUCCCAAGUGUUAGCCCUCAACUAGUGUCUACACGAAUAAAUAUCUGGCUAGUGAAGCAAAAAAACGACAAUUUGCUAGAACUUUAUCCAUCAGGUAGGUGUUGCCAUAAAGGGAUUUGGUAUGGUGUUUUGUUUUUCAAUUCUCUAAAUUGGAAAACCUAUUUCUUUUCUCUCUAAUAUCUAUUUGCGAUUAUUGAAUUCUCACACUAUGUUACAUAGACCCCUUAGGCUUAUAAAAAGAACAAUCUGUAAUUAAGCCAAUUGUGUGUUGCACGCCCUAGGGAAAUUUUUUAGAAACUUUUGGGUUCACUAGUCUGUAUCACGUCACUCGCUUGUCUCAAGAAGAGAUCCUUUCACAUCACCAGUUUACCACACUAAAAUUUUGAAUUUAUUAGAUGGAUAAUACAAUUUGUUUAAUAAAUGACCAACUUUACAAAUAUUUUUGUGAAGUGAUUUCACACAUAUUUUUUAGCUUUUACACACCCAUGUUUAAUUUUAGAUGUUGAUUCCGUUUGAUUUAUUUAAUCUGGUGGCCAUAAAUAAAGAGAGGUACGUGGAAAACUAAAAAUGGUGUGUGAAAAUCCUUGACACUACUAAGCAUGAAUUUUAGUAAGAUGAAAAAAGACCUUCGCUUGAUACCCGUGGGAGGACGUGACAUGACUUCCUUUAUUGAAGGAUGAGGAAUGCUAAUGUGACUUUCAAAAGUAGGACUUUCUAAUGACUCUCUGCCACCUCAUAGCUAGUUUAAUGUCAAUUCAUUCACGUGCCAACAUUAUAACACAAAUGCUAGGAAGGCUACAUUUAUAGACAAAAUUUGUAUACUAAAUGACAUGAAAGUUGAUGAUUAUAUUAUUAUUUAAGCGUUGAUAAACGUGCUCAUUUUCUAUUGGUAACAAGUCAUUUAGUUUUCAAAUUUUGUCUACAAAUUUAGUCUCCAUAGCAUUACCUGCAUUAUAAAGUAUUGUGCCAAAUAUAUGAGCUGACAAAGAGUCCAUAGAGAGUCUCAAUUUUGAGUCUCAUUAGCAUUUAUCUUCAAGAAUUUAUCCACAUUCUCCUCACGUAAUAAUUUCACCAAAAAUGUUUUCUAAAUGCUCACUUAUCAAGAUUAAACCCCCGUUUGGUAUUUUAUUUUUUGGGUAAAAGACUGUUUACUACCCUCAUGUUUCGUGGUUUUCAACAUUUAGUACAUCAUGUUUUUUUCGUCUCAGAGUCAUACCUAAAGUGUAAAUUUUGGGACAGUCUCAUACAUCCGUUAGUCAAACUGUUAAGUUUUUCGUUAACUGUGACGUGGCGCACUGACUGGGCGCCACGUGUCAUCCACGUUUUUUUUUUUUCUUUUUCUUUUUUCUUUCUUUUCUUUUCUUCUUCUUCCUUCUUCUUCUUCUUCCUCCGACUGCAACUUUUUUUUUUUUUUUUGCUUCUUCCUUUUCCUUCUUCCUUCCUUCCUCCUUCCUUUCCCUUUCUUCCCCUUCUUCCUUCUUCUUCCUUCUUCUUCCUCCGAAAUCUGGGGAAUGUUUUUUUUUUUCUUUCUUCUUCUUCCUCCUUCCUUCCCCUUCUUCCUUCUUCUUCUUUCUCCUUCUUCUUCUUCUUCUUCUUCCUCCGAAAUCUGGGGAAGUUUGUUUUUUUUUUUCUUUCUUUCUUCUUCUUCCUCCUUCUUCUUCUUCUUCUUCUUCCUCAAAAAAAAAAAAAAAAAAACACUUUUAUCUUUUCUUCCUCUUCUUCUUCUUCUUCUUCUUCUUUCUCUUUCCUCCUUCCUUCUUCUCCUUCUUCUUCUUCUUCUUCUUCUUCCUCCGAAUCUGCCCAGAUUCAAUUUUUUUUUUCUUCCUCCUUCUUCUCCUUCUUCUUCUUCUUCCUCCGAAUUUGGGGGAAGAUGAAAGUGUUUUUUUUUUUUUGAGGAAGAAGAAGAAGAAGAAGAAGAAAGAAAGAAAAAAAAAAAAAACAUUCCCCAGAUUUCGGAGGAAGAAGAAGGAAGAAGAAGGAAGAAGGGGAAGAAAGGGAAAGGAAGGAGGAAGGAAGGAAGAAGCAAAAGGAAGAAGCAAAAAAAAAAAAAAAAAAACAAAAACAGAAAGUUGCAGUCGGAGGAAGAAGAAGAAGAAGGAAGAAGAAGAAAAGAAAAGAAAAAAAAAAGAAAAAAAAAAACGUGGAUGACACGUGGCGCCCAAUCAGUGCGCCACGUCACAGUUAACGAAAAACUUAACAGUUUGACUAACGGAUGUAUGAGACUGUCCCAAAAUUUACACUUUAGGUAUGACUCUGAGACGAAAAAAACUUGAUGUACUAAAUGUUGAAAACCACGAAACAUUAGAGUAGUAAACAGUCUUUUACCCUUAUUUUUUUCAACAAAAGUUGCUUCACUUUAAAGUUAAGCAGUAAGAAUGUGUUUGGUAAAAAUAAAUUAUUUUGCUUAUAUUAAAAGUAAUGCAUGUCCUCCAGACAGCAACUUUUAAAAGCAGCAUGUAGGUAAAGCUGUUUUUAAUAAAAAGCAGAAUUGAGCUUUCAAUGAAUAUUUUUAAUUCCUGUAAUAUGCUCAAUAAUUUUAGAAAAUAACAUUAUUUAUUCUUGUAGGCACAUUUUAUCAUUGGAGAACAAAGUGACCACCACUAUAAACCCUAACCUCUUACACUACCAUUGCCAUGAUCACCACCAUUGUUGCCACCACCACCACACUACAAUUGCGCCACCACCACUACAACCAUACACACCACCGCUACCUUUGCCAUCAUUACCACCACACCGCCGCCGCCGCCGCCACCACCACCAUAAACACAACUGCCACCAUCAAUGUUGUUGCCACCCCUACGACCAAUGUUGCCUCUGCAGCCCAACCACCACCACCAUCCCAACCCUUACCCUUAUCACUGUUGUCGUCGUCACCACCAACAUUGUUACGUCUAUUUUUGUCAUUAUAUACAAUUAUAAAUUAUCAAACGCUUUUACGCCGUUUUUCAUACUCAACACUUUUAAAAAUACAAUUCAUCUAACACUCAACUGCUUUAUUUUGUAGCAGAUUAUUCUUAAAGCACAUCAGAAGCACUUUUUUUUAAAGCACAUCAAUCUCAAAAUGGCCGUAAGAUUAUGAGUUUUUCAAUUGAGAUAAAUAUAUAAUUUAUUUGACCAAAACGAUUUUAAAUUAUUUGUAAUAAGAUCACGCGAAAGAAGAACAUAAACGUUACACAUGAAAUUAAACCAAAGCAAAUGAUUUUCUUGGGUUUUAACACCCAUAUAUUUUUUGUUGGUUUAUCAUUUUCACCGAGCUCCACCUCAUUUAUACUUAAAGAAAUGUAUUAUGUUCCGAUCCAGAAACCAAGCUCCACCUCAUCAAUACUUGGAUAAUUUGAUGCAUUACUUUUGUUUCCUUUCUCAAUUUGGAGGCCCAAACAAGAAACAAAGCUACACUAGACAAAGACAACUGCUGUAUAGUGGGUGUUUUAGAAACUUAAAGGAAAGAAACUCAAAAGCUUCAAUUUGUUUGUCGUGCUCCUUUAACUUCCUCUUUUACUGUUAUACAAGCGAAAACAAGAGAGAUUUAAUGAGUAAAGGGAUACUUUACGCCUUGAUAUACAAGUUUAUUGUCAUGAUCUAGCAAGGUUUCUUCUAAGGAUCUUGGCUUUCUUUGUCUAUAAAGAAGUUGGGUUUUUGGUUGUUUAAUUAAUUUCUACUAGAAUUGCAAGAUAAAAAGGGAUACAAACACUACAAGAAAGCCGGGCUUAUGUGACGACAGAUAUUCGUCAUAGAAAAUAAAAAUGCGUCACAUUUGAUAAUAUGUGACGCCUUUACAGCGUCACUGCGAACGUCACCUAUGAUGCGUCACGGAAAGUAUAAGUGACUAAUUUUAAAAGCGCCACAUAUUUGUAGUAUAUGUGACACUGUUUUCGUCAAUUAAUAGGAGAUUGUGACGGAUUAGGCGUCACAAAAGAAUAAAUUAUGUGACCUAUAUAAUUCGUAAUGUAUGAAAUAGAUAAGUGACACUGAAGGCGUCACAUUUUUCUUCCAUUUGUGGCAUAGCUUGGGUCACUUAUGUCAAAAUAAAAUAUCUAUUUUGAAAAUAUAUGUGACAAACCAAUACAAUUCCCUAUUUAUAAUAUGAUGUUACAAUUCCUUGUUUAUAAAAAAGAAUCAAUUAUGUGACCUAUAUAAUUCGUCACUUAUGAAAUAGAUAACUAACACUGAAAGCGUCACAUUUUUCUUCCAUUUAUGGCACAGCCUGGAUCACUUAUGUCAAAAUAAAAUAUCUAUUUUGGAAAUAUAUGUGACAAACCAAUACAUAUUCCCUGUUUAUAAUCUGAUAUUACAAUUCAUUGUUUAUAAAAAAGAAUAAAUUACAUGACCUAUAUAAUUUGUCACUUAUGAAAUAGAUAAGUGACGCUGAAAGUGUCACAUUUUUCUUCCAUUUGUGGCGUAGCCUGGGUCAUUUAUGUCAAAAUAAAAUACCUAUUUUGGAAAUAUAUGUGAUAGACCAAUACAUAUUCCCUGUUUAUAAAGGAUCAAGGGACAAACAUUUUGACAAACAUAUAUAUAUAUAUAUAUAUAAUAUAUAUAUGUUUUUUUUUUUAAGAUGAUAACAUUUCCUGAAUAAAACUGAGAAGAUAUAUAAACCGGCAAGCAAGUUUAUUUAUCUUAAGAAAGUAACAGUAUUUCCAUAUUCACUUUCAGGUUAUUACAACUUUGACGUCGAAAAAAUAAGAACAUUUAGGGAAGAUGUUUUUCUCAUAAGUUAGGGUUUCUUCAAUGUUUGUCGGUUUCUUUACCUAAGUAAGUUUUUAUCUGUCAAAUUAGUUACGAAGGCUUACUGUCAAAUUGAAUGAAAGGUAAUGAAAGCAGAAAAUAGAAAACAAAAUAUCGGAGUUGACUAUUGGUAGGAUGAAUUUGAGUUAAAUUUCUUUGAAAACUUUAAAAUUGACAAGGAUUACCAAAACUAUACAAUUACCACAUAACAAGAACACAAAGGAAACUACGAGCUUGUUUGGUAUCCUAUUUGAAAAUUAUUGUCAUUUCUCAAAACAUUUCUUGAAAACAAUUUUCUUUAAGACUAAAAAACUUGACUGGUUUGCGAUUUACAAUUUUUAAAUCUUACAACUAAAAUUAGGCAAAGAGAUCUAAAAAGAGGGGAUCGUAGGAGAGGGAGAAAGAGGAGAGAAGAGGAAAGAAAGCAAGAGAUGAUUGAAGAAAAGAGAAAGAAGAGAGAGAAUCGAACAAAAGAGAGAGGAAGAGGAGUGAGAGAAAGAACAUAGAGAAUGAAAAGAGCAGAUUGAAAGAGAGACGAAACAUGUAAAAAAAUAAAAAUAAAGAGGAGAGAGAGAGAGAAGAAAAGAGAGAGAUUUGGAGUGAGAGGGGAGAAGGGAGAGAAGAAAAAAAAGUGUGAGUUUAAGUUUAAAAACUCUAAAAACUCACUUUUUAUGUUUUUAGAUAAUAGACUAUAUUUUUGAGUUAGUCUUGAGUUUAGUUUUUUAAGUAGUCUUACCAAAGACUAAAACUUGAAAAUUGUUUUUGAGUUUAAAAAAUUGGAUUCAAGGAAAGUAUCAAACAGACGCUAAAAAACUUGAAACAAAAGUUUACAAACAAACAACCAACGACAUAAGGAAAACAGACUGCAUACUUUUAUUUACACCAUUUUGUAGUACCCUCAAAACUAAUUGGCAAGUUAUUUAAUUACCAUAAGUGAUAAUGCUGUCCAUAAUCUUGGCCACUACCUCCUUAGAAUCCCUAAGCUUUUUUAUGCUUUUGUUAAGCUUCUCACGCUUUACUGCCAUUGCCGGCGACUCCUCCAACAUCCUCUCGAUUCCCCCAUCGUAAUGUCCCAUCAACUCAUUCAUAAUCUCAGCUUCCAUCUCUUUGUUCACAAGGUUAAAAACAGACAGCUGCAAGUGCAAUGCCAUGAAGUCCACAAACCUCCUCAAAACAACCUUCCAAUAGGCAGUCAUUCUCAUUUUAAGGUCAUAAGCUUGAGCUAAAACAUGCGGUUACUUCCUCAGAACACCGACUUCAACUUCCCCGAUGCCUUCUAUAGCUAUGAUAGAAGGUUUAUUCUCGUCAGUUAAGACUCCAUGAAUGAAAACAUUUUGACUAGCCAUCAACUUGUUCCAUUCGGAAACAUAAUCAGCAUUGCAUGUAUAAUCUGUCAGCUUUUCCAUCUCUACAAGCUCCAGCAUCCACUUUGACACGCCCUGAUCCGGAUGUCCUGGAGACAUCGGGAUAGUCACGUGCUGGCCGACACCCGAGGGGUGACGAAAGCCAUUUAAAAGGCAUAAGAACGAGAAAUAUGAAUUUAAUAUAACAUUUAAUAGGCAUUUAAGGAACGUGUUCAGAGCAUAUAACUAAUUAGAAUACUAGGAAAAAAAUGAUAUAAAAAUUGAAUAAACAAAAGGAGUGGGUCCUACACCGAGAGGACUCGAAGAUGCCAAUGUAGAAGUGUCUUGACGCCGGGAUUGUAUGCCUCGAUUCUAAGCCCUGAAGGGGGCGCAAAACAAAGGUGAGUGGACCAGUUUGAUAUACAUAUAAUAAAACAGUUAUCAACAUACUAACCCCCUGAUUUUUAUGAAAACACAUAUAUGUAUCAUGAUAAACAUAAGUUUUCCGAAACCUAGAAUGUCGUGCAAUAUCUCAAAUCAUAACUCGCAAAACAUAAUAAACACUAGUGUCAAAUGUCCACAUAUAUCCAUCCAGGCCCUAUGUCAUCUCCCCAUCCCUGAGCAUACAGUCAAAGAAAAUAUGACUUCAGGCCCUAUGCUAGCUCCACUGUCCCUGUUCUAAAUAGUCAGAGGGAAAUACACUCCAGGCCCUAUGCCAACUCCACCGUCGCCCGGGAUGGACCGAAAUCUAUCCCUACAUCCCGUAGCGGAAAUUGGGACAGCUAGGUAAUACAGAAUCAUCGCACAUAUAUUUAUUCAAAAGUAACAUCAUAUAUCAUUCUUAUAAACUCAUGCUUUUUAUGCGUGCAAUUCUACUAAUAAAGCAUGUAUUUUAGAAGGGGUCCACUCACAGUACUUCACCGUCGAAAGCCGCGCUGCUAACAAAGAUAGAAACGCCACAAUAAUUGCCCCUAAGCACAUAAACGUUCCAAUUAAUAAAUCUUUAUUAAAACAAUUGAAUUUGAGAAAACGGACGUCGAAAACGGAUUCAAGACGUUGAAUUACCUUAAGAAGGGUCCUGGAUAAAUUUCGUAAACGUCAAUAGAAUAUUCCACAUCAAGAGUUUGGGCCGGCUAGGGUUUAAGGGUUUAGUGCUUAAGGCCCUAGGUUAAAAAGGUUUGGGUUAGACUUUUAAAAAGGUUAGGCUUAGGUUAAAUAGGUUUAGGGCUUAGGAAGUUGGGUUGGGUCCUUAAGGGUUUUGGGUUUCUAGGUUAAAGGGUUAGGAAAUUGGGUUGAUAAAAAGGGCCUAGGGUAAAUAAUUGGGUUUGGGCUUAAAAGGGUCACGGAUUGGGCUGGAGACCCGUGGGUUUUGGGCUGGUUUCAAAGGACUUGGGUCGAGUUGAUUCGUUUUCAGGCCAAUGAAAUGGUCGAUUUCUGGGUAUCACUUCGAACGCCCAUAACUUCUUCGUUACUCAUCCAAAAUAAGUAAUCCAAACAUGAAAGUUGUAGUACUCGACGAGAUGAAGAGAUUGAUACCCUGCACUCCGCCAAACUCUCCGUGGUUUGGCCGGAAAACACCUCGAAAGGGGCGGUGCUCGUCGGAAAACUGGGUUUUUUGGCCGAAUGUUUGGGUAAUUUUCAAAGCUUUGUAACUUCUUCGUUUCUUAACCACAUUGAGUGAUUCAAAAUCUAAAAUGUAGUUAGGAAUGUGGAGAAGAGGUUCAUACCAAGUGAGGACCGAGUGGUUACCGGAGUUCACCGAAAAACGACCUGAAAAAUCAUAGCAAAAGACAGCAUAGUGAAAGAGGCUUGAGUUGUAGUGCUAGUUGCUGGAGUCGAAGAAGGGGUUGUGGUAGUGAGAGUAGAAAGAAACGGAGCGGAGGGAGUUGGGAAAGAUUGUGAGGUCGGUUUUGAGGUGGCAUUGGAGAAACUAGUGGAGAAACCAAAAGAGGAUUGCAAAGCGGAGGAAGCCAGAGUUCCGAAGGAAGAGAAUCUGGAAACGGUUAUUGAUGGGGGAGCAGCGGUGGUGGGAGCAGAGGUUGUGGGUUUCAAAAGAGAGGAGGAUGUUGGUAAUGUGAAAGCUGAAAAGGAAGUGGAGAAGCUUUGGAACCAUUGGGUGGUUAGAGCUAUAGAGGAUGACGGUUGGGACGAGGAAGUUGUGCCAGACAGCGGCGAGGGUACGCUGGGUGCAUAGGACGUUGUGCCAAACAAGUGCGAAGCGGAAGUUGAGGGGUUCCAAACAGGGGUGUGGGUGCGCUGGGUGCAAAUGAGGUUGCUCUGAAUGGGGAUGAAGUGGCGAAAGAAGGAGCGCCGAAUAGAAGGGACCAUUGGGUGGUUUGACCUAUAGAGGAUGAAGGUUGGGACGAGGAACUUGUACCAAACAGCGGCGAGGGAGCGCUGGGUGCAUAGGACGUUGUGCUAGACAACUGCGAAGCCAAAGUGGAGGAGGUUCCAAACAGGGGUGUGGGUGCGCUGAGUGCAAAUGAGGUUGCUUCGAAUGGGGAUGAAGUGGCGGAAGAAUGAGCUCUGAAUAGAGGGGACCAUUGGGUGGUUGGAGCUACAAAGGAUGAAGGUUGGGACGAGGAAGUUGUGCCAGACAGCGGCGAGGGUGCGCUGGGUGCAUAGGACGUUGUGCCAAACAACUGCGAAGCAGAAGUGGAGGGGGUUCCAAACAGGGGUGUGGGUGCGCUGGGUGCAAAUGAGGUUGCUCUGAAUGGGGAUGAAGUGGCGGAAGAAUGAGCUCCGAAUAGAAGGGACCAUUGGGUGGUUGGAGCUACAGAGGAUGAAGGUUGGGAUGAGGAACAUGUGCCAAACAACGGUGAGGGAGCGCUGGGUGCAAAUGAGGUUGCUCCGAAUGAGGAUGAAGUGGCAGAAGAAGAAGCUUCGAAUAGAGGGGAGACGGAUGCGGUGAAGGUGGUGGCAGGUGCGGAGGAUAUGAAUGGGGAGGUGCAAGAGCCGGAACAGAAUAAGGAAGGAGGGUUGGAGAAAAAGAAAUGGAAGUGGAUUGGGCGGAAGAGGAAGAAAAGGAAAAGCCAGUGGUGGACGUGGUGGCAGGUGUGGAGGAUAUGAAUGAGGAUGUGGAAGAGCCGGAAAAGAAGAAGAAAUGAGGGUUGGAGAAAGAGAAAGGGGAAGUGGAUUGAGCGGAAGAGGAAGAGAAGGAGAAGCCGGUAGUAGACGUGGUGGCAGGUAUGGAGGAUAUGAAUGGGGAGGUGGAAGAGCCGGAACAAAAGAAGGAAGUAGGGUUGGAGAAAGAGAAAGGGGGGUGGAAAAGGAAGAGAAGGAGAAGCCGGUGGUGGACGUGGUGGCAGGUGCGGAAGAUAUGAAUGGGGAAGUGGAAGAGCCGACUGAGAAGGAAGGAGGGUUGGAGAAAGAGAAAUGGGAAGUGGAUUGGGCGGAAGAGGAAAAUGCCGAGGAUUCAAAUAAAAAGCUCGACAUUGUUUUCUCUCUUCUGCUGCUGCUGCUGCUCUAUGUUAUUGAGAGGUUUUUCAAAUUUUGGGGUUUUUGGUUAACACAUUUCAAAGCCUUCUCUUUUCAUUUUCUGGUUGUCAAUGGCUUCAUCCGCCUAAGUUUUCACAUUCUGGAGAUUUUGUUUCACUUUUACCAUUGUAAGACUAUAGAUCAUAGAUGCUGACAUGGUUGGACAGAUGUCGAAUAAUGGUGUCGUUGCGGCCCCCACCGUCAAAGAAAAAGCAGUCCCCAUGGGCAUUCAAGCUGAAAGAGAACUCAUAAUUGUAUAAAGGUUUUGCAUCACAUUCAUAACUCGAUCCGAAAACUUCACAUCUCAGAUUUUCGAUCUGUAACUUCCAAAGAUUUACAUUAUGCUUCUAAAAUAAUAUACUAAAAUAUUACCAUGAUUCGACAGUCGGAUCUUCGCCAAUCAAAAUUCAAGUGGCAGUCAACAUUUUAUUUUGCGAACUUACUAAUCCAAUUCAGGAAGAUUCAUACGUCAAAUUCCCAAUCCGUAAGUUUCUAUGGUCCUCAAAUAUUACGUACUAUAAUGUAUUAAAGUUUUGUGCCAAUCCAACCAUCAGAUCAUCGAUUGCUAUAAUGUUAAAGAGGCAUACCUUAGAGAAAUUAUACCCAAACGAUGGAAUUUCAUUAAUCGGAUGUCAAAUAUGGAAUCAAGGCAUCCAAAUUAGCCUAGUAAGGUCAGGUGGGGUAUUAGCCUAGCGCUGCCGCACACGGCAACUGACCACCCCAACUCGUCGGAAAAUUCAACUAAUUUCAAAAAUUCUCAAAUUUUACCAGAAUGAAGAUCUCAAUUAGUAGAGCAAGUUUUAUACCUAUGGCCACACCUUAAAUCGCCACAAACCUACCGGAACCCUAGAAAUGGGUGGGUUUCAAUUCACCCUCUCCGAUGCUUUGACGUGCCAACCAAAGCUUGGGACUUGUUCCUGGGUUCAAGAGGUGCUGAAAUAUGGUAGUGGUUGACGAAAGAGCUCGCAGAAAUAGCGGAUUCCACUGUCGUGGCUUCGGAACACCCACCAUAGGGUUUGAAUGGAAAAGGAAGAGAUGAGGCCGAAGUGAUGAAUGGUGGGGGUGGAUGGUCACGAUUCACCAGAAAAAUGGCUGAAAUCACGACGGAAAAGGUGCAAGAAGUCUGGUCAUGAACCCGGUAAAAAAGGAUAUGGUGCUCCUCCACUCAAUAGCAAUUAAAUUGCUACCUCGAAAUAUUGAUCAUUUAAAUACUUGAUUGCAAUACUUAUCUGUCAAUCAUGUAUUAUGCUUAAAAUCUCUAUAUAACAUCUCAAAUGGUGCCAAACCAAAAAUUGAAAUAGUAAUCGUAGUUACAUGCAACCUUAACAAAGAUGAGUGUCUAUUACAAUCAUGCUAAAACUAUAGAACGGAUAAAUGCAACAUGUUCACAAAUGUCUGGAUAGUUCAUUCGAACUAGUAGUUAAUCUGAGGGUGAAAUGUGGUAAUACAUAAUAACUUUGUAACCAUGGUUUUCAAGAAGACUCCCAAAACUUGGAAGUGAUACACGCAUCAUGAUGAGGUACAACAAUGACAUGCACAUUAGGCAUCCAAACAUUAUAAUUCAUAUAUGUCACAACAAGUAGAUUCAUUAUGAAAAUUUCUCUCGAAUUUAGUGAAACACUGUGUCGAGAAGGCUAAAAGAACAAUCAAGAAUUUGAGAAUUAAAAUAAGUCCAUCAAUCUAGAAUACAAAGUAACUAGAUUAAUGCAUAACAUCUCACUACAAUGGUAGCUUCUAGAAUAUUCAAUCACCAACGGUAACGAUUCGCUUAGCAGAGUUUGUUGAGUGAUUGAGAAAUUAAUGGUCACAACUGCAAUUCCAAUGUCAAUGGUUCUUCUAGACAGUUUAUCAACUUCAAAAUAAUGCGAAGUGCAAUAGGGUAGGUAGUACCCAAGGUUGACUGGAAUGCCUUCUAACACAAAAGGUGAAUAUGAAAUCACAAUCAAAGUAGAUGUUGAUCAAAAUGUCAGAAAAUCUGAAAAAUUCAAGAAUGAGUAAUUUUCUCAAGUGAUCAAAAUGUAUUCCCUAUGGACCAAUGGAAAGUAAGCUAACUUGUCAAGUCGGCGAUAAUCACCGAAACAUCAUUGUAAUAUCCACAUAUACAAGAUACCUCAUACCAGGAGCUUAUGGUGAUAUUUCUCAUCUCCAUUUGGAUAUAGAAAGUGAAUAUAACCACUCGAACGAUUUCUUGAUAAUUUGUAAGUAACGUCAACCCAAUGCUCAUGAAUUCCAACUAAAAUGAAAUAGGACAGACUAAAAGCAUUUCGGGAGUAGAUAAUGUCUUUUGAUGUGGCAAACAGUAAUUACGUUUCCACAACGAGGAUGAUACACGAUUGUGUAAUUGUAGAUGUUAAUUUGGUUCCUCUAUCACCAUUGUCAGAAAUCUAUUUCUUUCCAAAUGGAUAUGUACUUGCGAGGUCUAAGAUUGAUAGAGAUUUUGGACACGUUUCUCUAUAGAGAAGUGUCAUUCAGUUUUUAAGUAAGAUGGUAACUAUUGACUCUAAGUUAUGAAUAAGAUGGUUCAUUCCAAACGGUUCUACACGUUGGGAAAUAUAAGCGAUUCUCCGUCAUGCUGCCUCUGUACAGCCAAAACAUCCAAAGAACACAUCAUCAUGGAUUUUCAAAAUAAUUAUUAUCAUCGAAAGGUGUAAAACGAAGGUAAGAUGAGACAACAAUUUAGUUGUCAGAAACUUUAUUCAUAAUCAACAUCAUAACUAAAUUAACUUUCCUCGAUCGUAAAUGAGGAAAAAACACUACAGCCGAAGGAUCGCUAACAAAUUGUCGAUAAAAUCGACAUGACCAAAGAUAUCUCGAACGUCACUACACUUCGUGUGAAUUUCAACUUUCUUCCACUAAACCCUUUUUGGAAAAGAAAAGAUUAUCGUUUACGAAGAUCACGUCUCCCAAGAAAAGUACCAAUUUAAUCAAAGUUAAUAGUUGAGCACUUUGGUAUAAAGCUGACUAUUGAUAUUUAGAGAAUUUGGUCUCACUGUCAAGGUAGAUGAAAAAGUCAUCGAUAAGACCACUAUGAAUACGUUAGGCUAUGGGAGAAAACUCAGGUUACAAAGGUUGGUCAGCUCGACCAUCAACUCGAAAUAGGGGCUAACGGUUUUUGGUCGUCACGUGAUUGAGUCGCUAAAGUCUAGGUACAACCCUAAGGUUCAACCUUUCGCCUUUACGAAUAGGUUUGAGAUUCUCUAGAUAAAGUGUUUGGUUAGAUACAGGGUCGGGCGUGUCAGUUUGGUAUUAGAGCGUGGUUUGUUCAUAGCAUACUUAGGAUCUUCUAUUAUUGUAGUAGUGUGUCGAUCAUGACGUCAUUUGGAUGUCACGACUUCCUGAUUUGUUGUCUUUCGGCACAGUUAUGCAACCCUCAUUCUGCAUGAAUAGUCACAUCUUAUGGAAGAAAAAGAAAAUUCGUGUUGGGAUUUUGCCUCAGUGUUGACGAAAUGGAUUGUUGAACAACUUUCAACAUCGAACUGAUACUCUAUAGCAUGCGUUCCCUAAGAAUUGCGAGUAGAGUUGGUGUUUACAUUGAAGUGACUAUCUAAGCCGAAGAAACUAUCAUAGACACUUAAGAGCAAGUCUUGUAGAAUGACUGUAACCUCCUAGUUGUUUUAACCAUGUUUUCCACUUAGGUAACCAAAACCUCUUCGUCUAGCCACAUUUUCGAUCACUUCCACAAGUGGACAAUAGAAUCGAAGUACAAGUUAACUUCUCAUUAUUAGAGUGAAGUAGCGUAUCGAGAAAGCUACAAAGACUUAUUAGCACGUGUCUACCCUGGUGUUCGGUAGAUAUCAGGGUCGGGCGUGUCAGCGAGUAUCUUUGACAUAAUUCAAAGACGUAGUAACUAAAGUAUGCUUAAUAGACCUCCAAGAAAUUGUGGUUCCACCAACAAUACCCAUUUAGGAUCUUGCCAUGUACGGAUCGAAUAAGUACAUAGCGUCAACAUAACCAACAAAAGCAACUCGAAAACUAGGGGGAGGGGGGACGGUUGCACUCAAAGUUGAGUAAGGAUAGGACAAACACAAGUCCACAACACUAUUAAGAUAACAUAGAGUUUUUUUAACACAUUUCAAUGUCUGCAUGUUGGCACAUGAUUGUGUUAUGCUAAGAGAUUUAUAAUGCAGGAGAUGUUAGGUCUUGUACACUGAGAUAAGUACAACAAAGCACCAAUUGCACUUAAGUAUGGAACCUCAGGUUCUAAAACUUCUUCAUCAUCUAUCUUUGGACGGUAUAGGUCUUAUUGUGCAUCAAGCGUACAGAUGACAAUGAGAGUACUCAAAGUCCACGCUUUAUCAUUAAAGCAUUGUAACAUCGUCUUGGUGUAGUUUGACUAGUUGACCAUGACUAAUGGACCAUAAUGUUGGAUUGUGAACUACCUUAGUAUAUAUGUGCAGAAGUGUGGAGGUUGGCAUAAACAUAAAUAAUCAUUUUAACAUGCAUGUUUGCGAAAUGCUGGAUUCCAUUUAAUCAUAUUAAAUUAAUUUAUGUAUUGGUUAUGUUCAUGUAUAAUAAAAUUAAGAACACAUGUAUAAACUUAGAGUACGUUUUAGAAUUCUAACCUUUAGAUUUCAUAGGUGGACGAAUUCAAUGUUGUUGAGGCUACUAAGUGUUAGCCGUCUACUAGUAUCUACACAAAUAAAUCUUCGGCUAGUGAAGCAAGAAGACAACGAUCUGCUAGAACUUUAUCUAUUAGGUAGGUGCUGCGGCAGAGGUACAAUGCAUUGUUAUGAAGUUGGUCUAUAUUGUCACGCCUCGCCCCGAAAUAUAAAUAUAUUAAAUCUUCGGCUAGCGAAGCAAGAAGACGACGAUCUGCUAGAACUUUAUCUAUCAGGUAGGUGCUGCGGCAGAGUGACAAUGCAUUGUUAUGAAGUUGGUCUAUAUUGUCACGCCCCGCCCCAAAAUAUAAAUAUAUUUCGGGAAUUAAUUAUGGUAGGCCCAACUUAAAAACGUAGUUAAUUUAUUUCCUUUAACCACAUCCCUCUAAGUCAAUAUUACUUACUAUUACAAGCUAUCCAUAUUUUCUUAAAAUGUCAAACAUAUCUUUCAUUUAACAAUUGAAUUCACUAAUAUUAGUUGUCAUUCUCCAAAUAAUUCCCUUCGUCCCACGUAGAAUCUAUAACCAUUAUUCGUUUACCAAGAUAUACAAUUUACUUUCCAAUUUAGAACCAUUUCCUUCUCUUAGAUCAAAUUCCAUCUAAACACUAAUUCUCGAUUAUUUAGUCUCACUUAUUUAUGGCUGCAUCUAACGUCUUGUUAGACUGCCUACGUACCCUAAACAAAGAUCAAGCCAUUCGUAGUUCACAAAUUCAAAUUCAAUUAAACUUUGAUAUUUCUACACAUAAUUAACAAUCACCAACUAGCUUCAAAUAAGUGUAUCACAUUAAAUACUUAUUUAACUUGAAUCCAAAACAUCAAAUUUAGCUUAAAAUACGGCAUCGGUUCCCUAGCCAUGCGUCGUCGCCGUCCUGACUUGCCGAAAAAUUCAACUAUUUCUAAAAAUUCUCAAAAAUUACAAAAAUGAAGAUCUCAAAGAGUAGAGCAAACUUUAUACCUAUGGCCAAGCCCAAUUUGGCCGGGAAACACCUCAAAUUGGCCACGAACUGCCGAAAACUCUUGUUUUGGGUGUUCUUGAUUUGUCUCCAAAACAACUUCGACGCCUCAACCAAUGCAUGGGCUUUGUUCUAGGCCUCAAGAAGAGUAUGAGAGUAGUGGUAAUUGAAUGAAAUCACUUCAAAAUUUGGUGAAUUUUGACACCUACACCGUCGCACCCACCGGUGCGUUUUACCCCAUUUCAAGGUCAAAUUUCAUGAUUUUUGGGGGGUAACAGGGUUAGGGAAGGUCAUUGAGGGUUUUCCAAGUGGUAGUUUAAAUUGAUUUGCUGGAAAAUGGGCUAAAACUCACCAAAAAUAGCAAGGAAAACCGACCGAAUCGAGUCGGGUCCUUUCAGGUCAGGGAUCCCCCGUACCCCUUUUCUCUCAUUUUCCCCCCUUUCUCCUUUCUCCCAUUGGUCAACCUCCCCCUAUUCCUUCCUUCCUUUUCUCCUUUCUAUUCUUUUCUUUCAAUCUCAACCGUCCAUUUCUUUAUUUAUUUUCAUCUCAGCCACACACGUGGCACAACCAUUGGAUCAAAUUUUCUGGAGCCUUCUACCAUAAAAUGAAAUUAUUAAAAUAUCCUUAACUUUAAACGUUAAUAUCUUCUUUGUUAUAACUUCGUUUCAUGAACGGUUUGUGCCUACACAUUCAUGAGAUCGAGCUCUAUUCAAAAAUAUAAAUUGUCACUCUGAAUAGUUUUCGGAUUUUUAAAUAAUAAAUUCCCAAACUUAGAACUUCUUAACCAGUUUAAUUUAAAACUAAACUCGAAUAAAUUAAUAUAAUUUCUUGAAAAAUAAUCUAAAAUCUCAAUCAUACAAAUACAUAAAUUAUAAUAAUUUCCGAAAAUAAAACUUUAAAAUUUUCCAAUUCUACUUUCAUAACCAUAAAUCGAUUUAUUUUCAAUUUUCUCCACAUAUUCAUAUAUUUAAAAUUUCAGGGUAUUACAUAUAUUGUAUUGGAAAAUAAACAACAAGAAAGUUCAGAUGCCAUACCCUUUAAUAGCCAUAACAAGUGUUGAAGUUGUCGAAGUUGUAGUUUUACUAGAACUGUUUGUUGUCGUUUCAGGUACAAUGUAAGGAAUAUUUCGUCAAAACUAGGUUUAUGGAUAAAAAAUAAAAAAAAACAUACCAACUCAAGCAGUAAGGAUAAACAACUAAAUUAUUCUAAACAAGUGAACUCCAAAUGUAAUGACCUGUCUCAAAAUUUUAUAAAUUUCAGAACGACAAGGGUAAAUUGGUAUUUUCACAUGUGAGAGAUAUUUGCAUGUUUGUCUCUUAUGACUUGUUUGGUGCGCCAAUGAGGCCCACCGCUUUUAUUUGGGGACUAGGAUUAUCUCUUCUGACACACCCUGACCCAAAAUAUCGAGAUGUGCUGGCAGUCACGUGAGGAUGACGUAGCCAUGCGCGUUGUGCGGAAGAAUUAAAGUGAAAGACAGUGAGGAAACGAAAAGUAAACCGAAUAAUUUACAUCAAAAGAUAAGUGAGUAAAAGUGAUGAAAAGGAAAGCAUAAAGCACCACAUCAAAGUUCAAGUAACCUAGGUGCAGUCCGGAAUAAACAAGUACUGAAUAAACGUUAACCAAAUAAAUCCUACAUGGAUGAUGCCUUGUUAAAACUGUCUCGAUGCCUCGCUCGCCACCAACGUCGCAACUACCUAAAACUUGGAGCGGCGCAAAACUGAAAACAUGAGUGGGUAAAAACAAAGUUUUUCCAAAACCGUUUCAAUAUCAAAAUAGUAACCCCUCUCCCUAUACUUUCUCAGAAAAUAUCAUCCAUACUCAAAUAUCAAUCAUGCUGGAAAACGAUAAAUCUCAAAUAUGCCAUGUUAGAAUACGACAUGUCGAAUUACCCAAUCAAAACAAAAUAAGUAUCAAGUAGGUGAGAUAAAUCAAAUCAUAAUAUGCCGCCAAUCUCAAUACGUCAGUUGGAGUCACCUAACGUGAACUGUACGACUGAAUAUAUAGCUCCUCAAUCACUAUCUUGCACACGAGUCGGAACCACCUAUAGUGGUCUGUACGACAGGCUGGGUGUAUAAUUACGCUCAGUGCUACGAUCACGUGAAGGCUGUGCAACGUAUCACAAGUCACCUAUGAGUCGGAACCACCUAUAGUGGUCUGUACGACAGGCUGGCACCUGCCUUGGGUCCAAGGUGAGCGUACGGUGCGGGAGGUGAACGAUCACGUGAAGGCUAUGCCGUACUCUGGCAGAGCACAAACACCGGGGUGCAGGAAUAUGAGCUAUAUCUCAAUCUCAUCAUCAUCACAACUAUCACUAACAAGUAUACUCACCUGACUUACCUGAGCGACGCCAAUUCAUAACCAACAUAAAUCAUAAUAAACAAUAAUGAUAUUCGACAUGGCAUUUCAAUUAUAAAACCAUUUUAAAACAUAAUAUCUGGGAAAAUAUCAAAUAUAUAUAUAUAUAUUCUGAAAACAAAAGCCCACUCACUGAUAAGUAGAAGGGUCUUAGCCCCCGAGCCUGGCAUGGCUGUGCUCGUCUUCUGGAUAAGCCUUACCUAUAUGUGAAACAACUAUAAAACCGUCAAUUAAACGCACAUAACCAACCUUAGGUAAUAACUUCUCAUACAUUGCUCAAUUGGAGGUGUUUGAAUCUAACAACAUGCUUUACUUAAUCUCAGAACACCCUCAUAUUUUUAGAAAAAAUUUCUUGUCACCCACGCGUAGGCACGUGCCUGGCACACGGACGGAACAGUUAAUGCCGUAAGGAAUAUUUUGUUAAAAAGUAACAGAUUCCAUUAAAUCUAACCUGACACUGUUAGAAUAUUCCAUCAAACUUGACGGAAUAUUCAUCGUCUCCUUCCUUGAGUCACGGGAGUCCGGCGCCGGUCGCCGUCUGUUUGCGGGUUUCUGGAAAAUUUUCAAAUGUUGAUAUCUCAGUCAAAUCUUAACUAAAUUUCACGAAAUUAACGUCAAAAUGAAGCUUAGGACAAGGGGAAGAAAUCUAUACCAAUUUGAGGUCCCAACGAUGCUGGAAUCUCGCCAGAGAAAUCUCGAAAAAUCUGAUCAACUAUAGAACUCAAGAUUUCGACAUCCAAAACACGUCAACGUUGCUCCCCAAGCUUCGUGAAGACGUCUAGAAACUCCCUGUGAUCUUAGAAUCUCUAAAAACCUCCUCAAUCACGAGUGCAUGAACAAUACCUUUAUUGGAGCUUUCAGGUUUCAAGGGUUUUCAAGGUUUUCAGGACAAACCAAGGGUAUAGUUGAACUUGCAAGGGUGCAAGGAGAAGCAUGUAUAUCCGUACUUAGGGUAUGGAAAAUAGAAGAAAAAUCGAGAAGGAGGGAGAGACAGAACCAGAAACAGAAAAGGAAGAAAAAGGGGUGCACGUGUGCAUGUGUGUGUAUAAGUUUAACCAAUCACACCAAAACUAAGCUCAAGUUCUAAUUGGGUCCAAUAAUUUGGGAUAUCACCCUAUUGGCCCAAUGUAGCUCACACACAUAACCACAAACACGUAAGGGUAAAAACGUCAAUUCAUGCCGUCGAUAAAAUUAUUUCGGGACGGUCUGUCACAUCCUCUCUUUUUUCACCCCCUUCUUUAAUAUUCUUUAUUUUGUAUUUUUUUAUAUAAAUAAAAUAUUAAUAUAAAAUGUAAUCAUGAUCUAUUUGAACGGAAAUUGGAUGGAAAAAAAAAAGAUGAGAGACUUCUCAUUUAUUUGGUCUCCUGGUCCUCCCUCUCUCUUCCUUUUCCCCGUCACUCUCCUCUCAUCUUGGACUAUCACACUCUCUAACUCUCCCGGCCCUCAUCUCUCUCGCACGACCCUCAUCCUCCUUCAAAACCCAAAAAACUGGCGAUUCCACGGAACUGAAACCAAGCUGAAGUCCCCAUCCUUCUCUGUUCCCCCAUCAUCACUGUUCUCUCCUCCCUCGGAACCCUGCAACAUCACCAUCGCGGCAGAGCCGCCUUCUCCGGCGAGUUCGUCGAUUUCCCGACUUGGGGUAAGCCUCGGGAUGCUUAAGAUCUUCAACUGUUACUUAUCUUUUUGUCCUAUUUGCUGCUAAUGAUUUGUAGCAAGAGUUGAUUUUUAACUGUUUCUAAUUGGUAAUGGAUUAAAGGAAGUUCAUUUACUAUUAGAGGUGCAUGUGAAAGUAAGCUUGAUUCGUAACCUCGUCGAGCAUUUGGAGCUCGCUUUGACUGAGGUUUUUCGAUUUGAUGUGAUGGCGUAUAAGCUUUUCUCAGUUUCUCGGUCAUUUUAAGGGUGACCAAGAUUAUCUCUGUGAGCAAUGUUGAGGUUAGGGAUUGGAAGUAAAUGAAAAGGGGUGUCUUUUCAUCAAAGGCUGAGGCCAAGAUUAUCUUUUGAGAAAACUUUGAGGCCUUACCUAGAUUGCAAGUCUCUGUUAAGUUCCAAUUGACGAAGAUGUUUAAAACUGUUGAAAUUAUACUGCCUUAAUUGAAAGGAGGCCUUACCUAGGAUAAUAUCUAGCUCAUUCGGGGUCUUUUUUUGGUUCUUUAACUACAUGAAAUUUGCAUUGAGAUGAAUUCUUAUCCUGAAUGAGUACAUGUGAGAAUCACGCGUGAUUGACGGAAAAUUAUGAAAUAAGAUAAUGAAUUCCGAAGGCUGGGUGCUCAGCUGGAGAUGCGGAUAAACAAAGAAUUAUAUGUUGAUUUGAAAAGGAAGACGUUUAUAUUGUUGAUUGGAGUAUAUAUGGCCGAUGAGAAUAUGCUAAACCGAUAGUUGCUCCUUGUAGGUUGCGGGGGAAGUGGUAACAUUAUGUGUUCAGAAUGUGGUGGCCGCGGGUAUCUAAGAUGACCAUACCGGUUCGCUUAUCUUCCUUGAAUUUGUUGUAUGUGCAAGUAACUUGUGUUAUAGCCAUGACGCUUUCCCUAAUUUUUUGUGGCUGAUUCCACGAUGAGUUAAGUGUAACAGUAAUGCAUCUGAUUCAUUUACUCUUCGAAAUGGUGUUCUUCCUCAGAUUUAUGUGCCAUUUAUCGUGUUGAAUGUUCAGAACCAUACAAUUACCACAUAACAAACACAAAGGAAACGAAAAAACUUGAAACAAAAGUUGACAAACAAACAACCAACGACAUAAGAAAACAGACUGCAUACUUUUAUUUAGACCAUUUUUAGUACCCUCAAAACUAAUUGGCAAGUUAGUUAAUCCCCAUGAGUGACAAUGCUGUCCAUAUUCUUGGCAACUACCUCCUUAGAAUCCCUCAGUUUUCUUAUGCUUUUGUUAAGCUUCUCACGCUUUACUGCCACUGCCGGGGACUCCUCCAACAUCCUCUCAAUUCCCCCACCGUAUGGUCCCAUCAACUCAUUCACAAUCUCAGCUUCCAUCUCUUUGUUCACAAGGUUGAAAACAGACAGCUGCAAGUGCAAUGCCAUGGAGUCCACAAGCCUCCUCAAAACAACCUUCCAAUAGGCAAUCAUUCUCAUUUUAAGGUCAUAAGCUUGAGCUAAAACAUGCGGGUACUUCCUCAGAACACCGACUUCGACUUCCCCGAUGCCUUCUAUAGCUAUGACAGACGGUUUCUUCCCAUCAGUUAAGACUCCUUGAAUGAAUUCGUUUUGACUAGCCAUCAACUUGUUCCAUUCGGAAACAUAAUCAGCAUCGCAUGUAUAAUCUGUCACCUUUUCCAUCUCUACAAGCUCCAGCAUCCACUUGAUUGACCUUUCCUUCAUCUUGGCCAUUAGAUUAUGGCCGGCACGCCUUGCUGACAGCUGCAGCUGAUAAUAGUUCUCCGAAUUACGCAUCAAGACAGAAAUAACCGCCUCUUCAAUGUAGAUCCACACUCGUUCCACAAAUGCAAUCGGAAUACUUGAAAUUCCAUUCACUUUUCUCUGCAAGAUAAUGUGGAAAGCAUUGCGCGGAAGAAAGUUCGGAAGUGAAAUACCUUUGUUCUCCUCCAAGAUCUUGAUUUCCUCCAUCAAGAAGUUGCUCUUUGCAUCACUUUCAGGACAUCUGUGAAGUUCAUCCGAGUACUGGUUGAGCAUCUCAACCAAUCUAGCAGUGCAGUGCAUGCGGUUGUCUUCCGCGUACUCCUCAAAUUCUCCUCUCAAAAGGAUCUUCCUAAGCGAUUCCUUAGCCAAGCCAAUGAUUUGCAUAAAGGCCGUCAUGGCCUCAGCAACAGACGAAAGACUCUUGGGCAUUUUAUUCAGUUCCAUAAUGCAAAAAUUCAGCCUGUCAUUGAUCUUCUUCACUAUAUCGGGUAAAUUUUUUGCCAUGCUGUUUGGGCAUUUUAUUCAGUAGUCAAGGUAACGUUCUGCUAUGGUUAACCACCCGUAAGGGUCCUCGCCAUUAAAUCAUGGCAGUUCCAUUUUAAUAGCUUUAAAAUGUGAAUGAGGGUUCUAGGGAGGUGGGUUGGGUAAUAUGGGAAGGGAGGGUGGUGAGGAGUUGGGUGCCGUGGAGGGACUUAAGUGGAAGGAUUGUGAGUGUGAUAAAUGGUAGGGUUGGGGCUGUAGCGGUGGGAAUGGGGGUGGGUGAAGUGGUGGUGGUGUAAGUGGAAAAUGGGGCUAAGCUCGGGGAGAGUGGGUAGGAAAUGCCCAGACUUGAGGAUUGAGCACUGAAAGGCACAAAAAUUAAACGAAAUCAAGGGGAUGGGUUAAGGUUAGAGGGACGAGGACCGAGAAAUGAAGUGGUCUGGUGUUGAGGUUGAAUGGGGGUUGAAGAGGGGUUGGGUGUGUGGUGGGUGGCGGUGUGGGUGGAGGUUUGGGAGGGUGGAGGCCCCGAUUUGAGGAUUCGAAGUUCGCCAAGCAUUAGGGAUUGAAAAGCUGCAAACUGUGAGGUUAUAUUGUUUUGAAAAGCUGUGUUGGAGGUGUUCAAGGUUUCGAGAGAUUUCUGGAGGUGGGUUUGUUGUGUUUCCAGGGCGAAGAUUGAGUCACACAAGUCAUCAACUUGAGUUCGCAGGUAUUUUUGACGAACAUCAACCGCAACAGUGACGGCGUCUGGAUCAGAGGUGGCGGACUGCAUGUUUUUGCCCAUUAAAUCGACGGGCUCUGAUACCAAUUGGUAUGCCCAAUCGGUUCAGGUUGGCUGAAAAUGGCAACUUUAAUACAAAAUAGUGCAGGAAUUUAAAAGAAGAAAGGGAAAGAAGAGUUUGAGAAAAAAGAGGCAACUUUAAUUCAUCAUUUCAUAGGUUCUUUCUACUCUCCUUUGUUACAAAUUUAUACUCCUCAUAAAAGGAAAAAACCCUAGCUACUUGGACGUAAGGAAAGAAGGCUGGUACGGCCCGGUUACAAGAGGAGAAGUAGUGGACUCAAGUAAAUGGGCUUAACAUGGUGUCGUUGGGGCCCCACCAUCAAAGAAAAAGCAGUUCCAUGGGCAUCCAAGAGGAAAGAGAACCCACAAUAGUAUAAAGAUUUUGCGUCACACUCAUCGCUUCGGCAUCAAUCCUUUUCCCUCCUUGCCGAUGUUCUUUAUAUUUUACUUUCUUUCUUCAUAAGUUGUUUGUAGAUGACAUGUUCUGAGAAUCUCUUGGGUGUCGUAUGCGUGCUACAAUACUCGUUUGUGUCAAAACACACAUAAACAUUAUUCUUUCCGUUGAGAUUUAAAAUUAAAAGUCUAUAGACACUUUUUGGUGAACUCGAAUUAAGGAAUUCUCAUUUUAUGUGUUAAGUUUUAUGCGGAUGAGUUAAGUGAUACAAAUUCAAAAAUUACUCUACAUUUUAAGCUGUUGUUUUUUUUUAACAUUUAUAAGCACAUAUAACUGAACUAGGACGCCACACAACAAUAAACCAAUUUUGUAUAAAUCAUUGUUACUUGGAGAUUAAGAUUAUGGCACCAUGAAAUAUUAAAUAGUUUUGCAAGAAAAAAAAGAACGUGGGAAAGAUGACAGGGCUAAAACAAUUGAGACUACAAUUUAGGACGCAUUGUACCACAUCUUUAAAAAAAGGUGGAAUUUUCUUAUAUUAGUGAACCCUACUUUUAUUAAAUAGUUUUCAAUGUAAUUUAGUAAAGUAUAGCCUCUCUAGCAUGAUAAGCCUAUGAGUAAUUAGCAUUUGUAGACAUCAAAUGCUAAUGAGAAAAAAAAAAAUCUAAUUUCAUCCUAUCCACCUCUAUUAUAACAUUUAUGUUUCAAUGCAUAUACUAAUGAUCAAAAUUCAAAUUUCAAUUGUAGAACUGAACAAAAUUAAAUAUUGGUAACAAAGCAAUAACAUCUGAGCUGUGAAAGCAAAGAGAAAAGUACCACGAUAUAAGAACUUGCGUCACAAUCAAAGCUUCAACAUCAAUCUGUCCCUCCUUGCCAAUGUGCUUUACAUUUUUUUUUUUACUUUCUUCAAAUUUGUUUGUAGAUCACAUUCUUUGAGAAAAUUUUUAGUUCACUAGUUUUGUCACGUCACUUGUUCUUUUAAAAAAAAAAAGAUUCUUUCGCAUCAUCAGUUCAUCACACUACAAUCAUGACUUUAUUGGAUGGAUAACAAUAACAAAAACAAAGUCUUAUUCUAAUAAGUGAGGUCGGCUAUAUAAAAUGUCACUGCAUUCAGUUUUGCUUCAUGUUCAUUAGAUGAAUAAUACAAUUUUUUCAAUACAUGACCAACUUUACAAAUAUUUUUGGGAAGUAACAUUUACACAAAUUAUUUAGCUUCUUUUUUUUUUUUUUGACAAUUGUGUGAGAAACUAAAAAAAGUGAAAAUAAAAUCUACGACGCUAUUGGAACUAAUUUUUUAUUACAUAAAAAAGUCCCUCUGCCUAGUAAAAGGAGGAGAAUGUGACAUGAUUGCUUUUAUUCAAUCCACAUUCUCCCCCACUUGACCAUUUCAUGAGAAAGGAUCAUCCUCAAAUUCCUUCCAUCAAAUUCUUCCAAUUAACAAAUCUGGACCCUAAAAAUUUAAUUUAACGAUUAAAGUUAGUAUAACUUUUUAAAGAGAUCUCAUGUUUUUAACCGUUUGAUCAAAUUUUAAAUGCUUAAAUUUGUUGAUUGGUUAGAUUUGGUAAAAGGGAUUCGGAGAGGAUCCCUUCCCAUUUCAUAAGUUGUCUAAAUGCUUUUGAUUCCUUUUUCAAAUUGAUGCUAGGCCCAAGAAACAAAGCAACACUAGACUAGACUAAAAACAACUGCCGUACGUUUGCCAAAAAAAACUAAUAACAACUGCCGUACAAAAGCAAGAUAAAAAGAGAUACAAGGGAGAACAUUCUCCCCCACUUGACCAUUUCAUCAACAAUGUUGUCUAAAUGCUUUUUAUUCCUUUUUCAAUUUGAUGCUAGGCCCAAGAAACAAGGCAACACUAGACUAAAAACAAUUGCCGUACAAAAGCAAGAUAAAAAGGCAUACAAAGGAGAACAUAUAUAUAUAUAUGUGUGUGUGUGUGGGUAUGUAUAGAUCAGUUAAAAUGAUAACCUUUCUUAGAUAGAACUGAGCAUAUAAACCAGCAAAGGUAAUAUUAGGGAAAUCAAAAUUUUCAACCAAAUGAUGUGUCAUUAAUAGGAAAUAAGCACGUUAAUCAACACAAAAAUAAUAAUUCAAUCAUCAACAACCACAUCAUUUGGUUUGCAAAUUUGGUUUAAAAAAUUUAGUCUCUCUAGAAUUAUCCAACCGGCAAACAAGUUUAAUUAUCUUAGACAAGUAACACUAUUUACGUAUUUAUUUUCAGGCAAUUACAACUUUGACAUCAAAAAGAAGAUUUAAGGAAGAUGAUUUUCUUAUCAGUUAGAAUUUCUACAAUGCGUGUCUCAUUAUUUACCUAAAUAAAUUUUUAUGUCUGUCAAAUUGGUCAUGAAAGCUCACUAUCAUAUUAAUAAGCGGUAAUGAAAGCAGAUAACAUGAGACAAAAAAUAGGAGUUAACUGUAUGUAGGAGGAAAUCGCAUUUAAAUUUCAUUAAAAACAUUAAACUUGACAUGGAUUACCACAACCAUACGACUACGGACCAUCACACAACAAGAACACAAAGGGAACAAAAGAACUUAAAAACAAAAGUUGACAAACAAACAACCACCCACAUCAGACAACAGAAAGCUAAUUGCCAAGUUAGUUAAUCACCAUAAGUGAUAAUGCUGUCCAUAAUCUUGGCCACCACCUCCUUCGAAUCCCUCAGUUUUUUUAUGCUUUUGUUAAGCUUCUCACGCUUUACUGCCACUGCCGGCGACUCCUCCAACAUCCUCUCAAUUCCCCCACCGUAUGGUCCCAUCAACUCAUUCACAAUCUCAGCUUCCAUCUCUUUGUUCACAAGGUUGAAAACAGACCGCUGCAAGUGCAAUGCCAUGUAGUCCACAAGCCUCCUCAAAACAACCUUCCAAUAGGCAAUCAUUCUCAUUUUAAGGUCAUAAGCUUGAGCUAACACAUGCGGGAACUUCCCCAGAACACCGACUUCAACUUCCCCGAUGCCUUCUAUAGUUAUGAUAGAAGGUUUUUUCUCGUCAGUUAAGACUCCAUGAAUGAAUUGAUUUUGACUAGCCAUCAACUUGUUCCAUUCUGAAACAUAAUCACCAUCACAUGUAUAAUCCGUCAGCUUUUCCAUCUCUACAAGCUCCAGCACCCACUUGAUUGACCUUUCCUUCAUCUUGGCCAUUAGAUUAUGGCCGGCACGCCCGGCUGACAGCCGCAGCUGACGAUAGUUCUCC